UACGUAGGGAGCAAGCGUUGUCCGGAAUCAUUGGGCGUAAAGCGCGCGCAGGCGGCCCUGUAAGUCCGCUGUGAAAGUCAAAGGCUCAACCUUUGAAAGCCGGUGGAUACUGCAGGGCUAGAGUCCGGAAGAGGCGAGUGGAAUUCCUGGUGUAGCGGUGGAAUGCGCAGAUAUCAGGAGGAACACCAAUAGCGAAGGCAGCUCGCUGGGACGGUACUGACGCUAAGGCGCGAAAGCGUGGGAGCGAACGAGG
rnacentral:rRNA from 1 species